CUCUUCUUUCUUCUCUCACAAGCGGUGUCAUUCUCUUUUUCCUUCCCAAACCAAAACCCCAUCUCCAUGUUCCAGCCACCGCCUAUCACUGCUCCUUUGCCGUCCAGCUCGUAACAACCUCUCCUAGUCUUCUCGUUUUCCUUUUUCUUCCUCUUUCUCUGAGUGGUGUACCUUUCUUCUUUCUCGAAAGCAGACGCUCCGCCUCCAGGUUUUAGCCAUUAUCACUGUUUCCUUCUCCUCUCCAGAAAACCUGAUCAAAAGCUUUAGUCGCCUCUCCCUUUCUCGCUUUAAAACUCAAGGGUUCCAAAACUCCAACCACCAUGUCAUUGUCCUUUGUACCCUAGGAUAUAGCAGCAGUGCAACCAACAUUAGUUUUGGCAAGAUAGCUCUUAUAGUCUCAUUCUCACAGUAUUUGCAACAGGGCAGCACAAUUUUUGCAAAUGUUUCAGUCUUUUAAAAUAUUUCAACAAAAAAGAGGUGAAAAGAAAGGGAAUACUUAGUUGCUAUGCUGCUACUUCAACUUCUUCUAUAGAGUUAACCAAUCAUUCUAUGCUGCUACUUCAACUUCUUCCAUAGAGUUAACCAAUCAUGCUGGCAGUUUUAUCUGAUAUUUGUAGAGUAUGAGUUUCUAUAUGUACUUGGUGUACUGGAAUUUAUUGAUGGAUACUUUUAGUGUUGGUAAUAGUUGUAAAUUGUUUGACAACCUGUGUUGUUUCUUCACGGCUUGAUGCUUCAUUCAUAAUAUGAUUCACUAAUUUUAUUUUGAUUGCUUUCACAAAGUUUCACUACUUUUCUCGCACCUCAUCCUGUUCAGUGUUGGAGGCAAAUCCAUGGAGAGAUCUUUUGAAAACUGUUGAAGUUGAAAGGGAGCUUGGAUUAUUAUUUUCUAAAGGAGCAAAGUGGAGUUUUGGAAUUGGAAACAAAACUAAACAGCCUAGAUCAAGAACUAAGUUUCAGAUGCUGGUGGAGGAUUUUAGGGAAGGAGUGCUUUUAAGUGUUUAAUAACUCAGUUUUUUGUCCUGUUAUAGUAUGGUUACAUUUUAGAUGUGUUGUGUCAAUUGUCAAAGGAAAUUAGGGGACUAAAAAUAUGAAUCAAAUUUUGGUCUCAAUCAAUCAAGGGCCUUUAAGAUUCUUUUAUUCGAGAUAAUCUUUGCAUAACUAUUCUUUUCUAAUCUCAUUCUCCAUGGUUAAAAUUUAUUAUUGUAGCUGUAUGCCAUAUGGUAUGCCUUCAUUUCCCCUACUACCAAUUUCAUGGUGGUGAACUAUGAAAACUGAAAUCAAGGAAGACAAUAACUUCAGAAAACACAGUUAGGAUUAGAGAAUCACUCCCUACGAACACACCACACAUUCAACACUUAAACUUAGUUAAUUUCUCUCCAUACAACUACCAAACACCCAAAAAUCUCCCAAAUAUAUAGGCAAUUAAGGUUUAGGCAACCUGUUGUAGUCAUGAUUAAAUGACAGCAAGUAGAUAAUUGCUUAGGCAACCUUGUUAUUGUCAAGAUGGACUAUAAAAAGAUAGCAUCUUCAUAAUGUGAAUGGUUAGAUGGACUGGUCCAUUGUGAAUGGUUGAGAUUUCAAAAUUGUAUUUUAUCUAAGCUGUUGAUGUAAUAACUUUGAAUGAAAUAUGUGUUUUUAAGGAUGAUAUUGUAGGCUUUAGUUCUACUGCAGUUAAAUACUUUUUAUAUACCUUUUGAUUAUAUGCUUUAAUUUUCAUGAUGUUAAUAUAUCAUAACCUUCUUGGUGUUUUAUAGCCUAACAUGGGUUCACAUAUGUCUUUGUUUAUGGGGUUGCUAUGUAUGCAUUAUUAUAGGUUAUUGUGAAGGAGAUAUGUAAGUUACUUUCUUGUUAAUAUGAUAUUUAUGAGAUAGUGCAUUUAUUUCUGUAACUUGAAGAGCCUUGAAAGACCUUAGCCAAUCAUAAUAAGAUUUUCCUUAUAAAACAAGGUUGAAGCCAUGAAGAAGGCAAAUGGCGUGCUUUUCUCAAAAGAGAUUUUUGUUUAUUCCAUACUUUUAAAUUUAAUCCUUUAUUAUUAUUAUUAUUAUUAUUUGCCAAUUUGUUCCCAUUCUCUCUUAUGGUAAAGUUUAUUGUUAUUUUUCAUAACUUAGACAACUUACCUUCAUUGAACAAUUAUAACUCAAAAAAAUUAUUGCAUCUGAACAUGUUUUGUGCAAGUGGCUUGUUCAACUCUUGAUGGCUUUUUACUAUUUACACUUACUCAUAUUCCCCUAGUUGUUUUCUACUAAUAAUAUUUUGUUUCAUUUUUUGCAGUGUUUGAACAUCCUCAUGACAACAGAUCAAGAUCAAAACAUACGUCUUGUAUGUAUGAUGAAAUGCUUGUAUGAGAUGUUUAAUGUAUAUUGGAAGUACUUGUUCAUUUGACUUGCAUAUAUUACCAAAUGCUUGUAUGGAAUUUGAAAU